rnacentral:rRNA from 1 species
CCUACGGGAGGCAGCAGUGGGGAAUAUUGGACAAUGGGCGAAAGCCUGAUCCAGCCAUGCCGCGUGAGUGAAGAAGGCCUUAGGGUUGUAAAGCUCUUUCAGCGGGGAAGCGGUACCCGCAGAAGAAGUCCCGGCUAACUUCGUGCCAGCAGCCGCGGUAAUACGAAGGGGACUAGCGUUGUUCGGAUUUACUGGGCGUAAAGCGCGCGUAGGCGGAUCGCUAAGUCAGAGGUGAAAUCCCAGGGCUCAACCCUGGAACUGCCUUUGAUACUGACGAUCUGGAGAUCGGGAGAGGUGAGUGGAAUUCCGAGUGUAGAGGUGAAAUUCGUAGAUAUUCGGAGGAACACCAGAAGCGAAGGCGGCUCACUGGCCCGAACUGACGCUGAGGCGCGAAAGCGUGGGGAGCAAACAGGAUUAGAUACCCUUGUAGUC